rnacentral:lncRNA from 1 species
UCAAAUAAUUUUUAUUAAUAAAAAUUUAUAUACAUUUACAAUAAUAAGCUCAACAUCAACACAGAUUGACGAUUGACUUUGAAACAUAAUUCCCAACACAAAAUAAUUUCACACCCACUAGAGAUUUAAAAUAAAAAUAAUUCAUAUUUCUUCUUUAUUUGGUAGGUAUACUCAAAUCACAGGAGACAUUCGAAACCUCGAGACUUCAAAACUGUAGUCGACCAACCCCCACCUAAAACCCUAAUCCCACACCUUCCUCUUGUUGAUGCCAUC